rnacentral:lncRNA from 1 species
UUUGGUAUGAGCAAUAAAAGCAGUAAUUGAAUUGAGAAGGAGGGAACUGCAAGUCCACGAUGUAGGUAAGAUAGUUCAAUUCCUUCAUCUAUGGUGUCUAUCUCUAAUUUAUUAAUGUUGCCCGCUCAAUCUGCUUCUUUGACUUCAUUCAAUGUCAUCUAUAUGGUCCUCAGCUCUGAGGUGAAUUCUUGCUGUUACAAUUGUCAACUUGACAGAUC